rnacentral:rRNA from 1 species
UACGGGAAGGCAGCAGUGGGGAAUAUUGCACAAUGGGCGAAAGCCUGAUGCAGCUAUGCCGCGUGUAUGAAGAAGGCCUUAGGGUUGUAAAGUACUUUCAUCGGGGAGGAAAAAACAAAACUAAUAAUUUUAUUUCUUGACGUUACCCGAAAAAGAAGCACCGGCUAACUCCGUGCCAGCAGCCGCGGUAAUACGGAGGGUGCUAGCGUUAAUCAGAAUUACUGGGCGUAAAGAGCACGUAGGUGGUUUUUUUAAAGUCAGAUGUGAAAUCCCUGGGCUUAACCUAGGAACUGCAUUUUGAAACUGAAAUACUAGAGUAUCGUAGAGGGAGGUAGAAUUCUAGGUGUAGCGGUGAAAUGCGUAGAUAUCUGGAGGAAUACCUGUGGCGAAAGCGGCCUCCUA